rnacentral:misc_RNA from 1 species
CCGCGCGUACAAUUUGGUUGCGUUUUCCCAUUGCGUUUAAGGCGAAACAUGACGCGCGCCGCGGCGAGCGUGGCGCUUCUGGAGGCUCCAGCGCGGCCCCUCCGACGCCAUAUUGACGGGUCGGUGAAACCCCCGAACGAAGUAAGCUGAAAUGAUAAAAUUGAUAUUAUGUUGAGUUGUGCAAAUCAUGUUAUUGUUUAGGUUGGUCGUUAUGUUGAGUGUCUCAGUUGUUUAUCUCAUUCUCUCAUAGAUAUUACUGUGAUAUUCAUUGAUUUGGUUUUGCAGUCGCGCGCCAUAACCGUCUCUUAAUCAUUAUGUGACUGUUAUUUAUUCUUCCUUUCAGUUUUCACGUACCGUACCGUUUUGUACCACGUGAUGCCAGCGGUUAUGAGAGCAGCGAUGUAUUAUCCUAUGUACUAUACCGGCAAUAGAAAACUAGAUUGAAUGAUGGUCUUUUGUCGGCCGGUUCAGUGAAAAUUCGUUCAGUUUAAUUCAUUUUACUUUCCCGUUUUUGAUAGUCUAAUCCAUAGAUGAUUUCCCAUGAAGUAGCUUGUGAUAUCUCAUUGUAGUGAAUUUUGAUUUGUGUUGAUUGGUCAAGAGAUUGACUGAUCUUCACAUUUUCUUUAUUUUAUACGUUCUGGCUCGUAUUUUGCCUGUAGUCACAAUUUGUGUUGGUUAUGUAGUGUAGUGUGGUUUUCAUUGAUGACACUGUUCCCCCACUAACUACUGUGAUUAAAUCCAGACCUAUCCUUCUGUUCGAUUGACGUCUAUUCCCAAUCCUCUGGUUCUCGACCCACACUGACGCGAUGGAUAACCCAGAGGGAGCUACUGAUGACUAUAGACCAGAGACCCGCUCGUCUCAUGAACUGAAGCUGACAGAAAAGGGCAGAGAGUACCAAACUGGAAUGAAACUGAAGGUGUUCAAGCAGAUGCUCGUUAAGUUAGAGAAAGAUGGUACAUCCCUGCUAGAUGAACUCGCAACUCAAGACGAAGAUGAGCAAACGAAUGAGAAGAUGGCUAAGAAGGUUGCCAAAUGGAAGCACAGUCAUCUGCUGCUACUGCAAACAAAUGAAGACCUGCGUCCCCUGCUGGGAGCAGAGUACGAGGUGCACAAGUCCACCUAUGAAGGCAGAUUGAUGCAGUUAGACAGCACCCGAGCAACAAUUGAGUCCCUGAUGCUUCCAGAAGAAGUCACAAGUGAGAAGCCCAAGAGAAGACCAGACGACUGCUCGUCUGUGGCUCAGAGUUCCAGAUCAUCUUCAGGCUCUGCCAUGAGAGCUCAGCUCUUCAUGCUGAAAGUCCAAGAAAGCCAGCAUGCAGCAGAGACAAAGGCAAGAGCUGCUGCCCUGGAAGAGAAACAGAAGUUGGAGAUGGAGAUGAAGAUGAUGGAGUCAAAGAUGCAGGAGUUGAAGUGGAAAGAAGAGAUGCAUCAAAUCGAGACUGAAAGAAGGAUUCACGAAGCAAAGGAAGAAGUACUCGAAAUGAUGGAGCAGAAGGUUGAUUCGUUCAUGACGCCAACAAGACAGGAAGAGACAGAGAAGGUGAAGACGCCUGGUAUUGGAAGACAGGGGACAACUGAGGCACAACCAACUGACUGCCACGAAGCAGGUAAAGACGUGACAGAACCUGUUGUGCCUUCCACUGAUACCCCUGUUCCUGUCCACUGCCAGGACCAUGAACCUACUCCCACACCAGAAACUGCUGCUCCGACACAGGUAACAGCCACUACUGUGGCUGAUAUCCUGUCCAUCCAAGCUCAGAGAUCCCAGCUACCUCCCACAGAGCCAGGAGUGUUUAAGGGAGACCACACGACCUUUUGCAUUUGGUUGAACGCCUUCGAGACCUAUAUUGAGUCCAGAUGUUCAUCACCCAGAGAGAGACUUCAUUAUUUAGGCCACUAUACAACAGGGGAAGCGAGAAGUGCAAUCACAGGCUUCCUACAGAUGGGCACUGAUGAGGCUUACCUGCAUGCGAAGAAGCGCCUGAAGGACAGGUAUGGCAACGUGUUCAUCACCAUCAACGAGCUGAAGAAGCGUCUUCAAAGAUGGCCUGAUGUGAAGAUGGGUGACAGCAAGGCAUUCACCGAACUGUCAGACUUCCUGGAACUCUGUAUGGUGAAUUCCAACAGCAUGGAUGGUCUGAAGAUAUUUGGCAGUCCAUCUGAGAUAGAUCCUAUCCUGAAGAAGCUGCCCAGAUACCUCACAGACAGCUGGAGGCGAAUCGUGGACCGGUGGAUUUACGAACCAGGAGAAGGAGCUCAUCCUCAGUAUCCACCGUUCGAACACUUUGUACAGUUUGUCAGCAGAGAGGCCAGAGUCGCCUCCGGUCCAGUGUUGGUGAGGGGCAGUGAAGAGGAGAGGAAACUACAACCAAAACCAAGAAAUGCACGUGUUCUGCUUACAUCUGCGCCGAGCGACAAACAGAGACCACAGGACAGCGGCCGUUGGAUGCAACAACACCACUGUGUGGUGUGUAAGCAGGAUCAUCCCGUGGACAGCUGCCCAGCAUUCUCGAGGAUGUCCCUGAAGGAGAGGCAAGAGCUGGUCCGCCAGAGAGGACUAUGUGGAGGUUGUCUGAGGCGCGGCCACAGGUGGAGGGAGUGUAGGAAGAGACAACACUGUGUAAAGUGUGGCAGGCAACACCCUACCCUGCUUCAUGAUGACACUUUCUCCCACAGGAAUGACAAGGCGACAUCGAAGGGCACUCAGACCAGCGCCGUCUCCCUCCAUGCGACUUCAUGUGACACAGCUGAGCAACCCAGGUGUACCCACACCAUGCUGGUGCCAGUUCGCCUGAAGCACAAGGACUUCCCUGCCAGGGAGAAGACUGUGUAUGCGCUGCUCGACCCCCAGUCUGACACGUGUUUUGUUAAGACGUCUGUGCUGCAGGAAUGGGUCUGAGUGGAGAGGAGGUCACCCUGGAGGUCAGCACGAUCACAGGCAGGACGACGUCGAAGAGUCAAGUUGUGCACGGUCUGGUGGUGAUGAACUACACGGGCGAGACCGAAGUCGAGCUACCAUCUACGUACACAAAGACGGACAUCCCUGCAGAGCGACAGCUCAUCCCGCGGCGCGACACGACGGCUGAGUGGCCUCACCUGCAAGAAGUUGCCCAACAUCUACCAGAGUACCUCCCAGACGCCGAAAUUGGCAUCCUGAUCGGCAUCAGCUGUCCAAGAGCAUUGAAGCCACUUCAGGUUGUUACCGGCGGUGACGACGACCCCUGGGCGAUACGCACAGGCCUUGGAUGGAGCGUCGUUGGAUGCAUGGGGCAAGCAACCAGCGAUGCAUCAUGCCUCUACGGACGUGAAGGAGUCAGCCACUUCGCGUUUCGAGUGAGGGCUCGCGAGGUGCCCCCCGAGCAGCUGGCACGACUGUUCGAUUCUGAUUUUACUCCACAGACCGACAGCAAGGGCUCCGGGAUGGCGAAAGUGUCCCAGGACGACCUUCACUUCAUGAAAAUCAUGCGAGAUGGCGUGCACCAACGUCCAGAUGGUCGCUUCGAGGCACCUCUCCCUCUAAGGGACCGGAAGAUGACACUGCCAGACAACGUCCAUCAGGCUCAGACUCGCCUUCAGUCGCUGAAGAGGAAGCUGCAGAAGGACAGCAGCUACAAGGAAGCGUACACCACUGCAAUUGAAGAUAUGCUGACCAAGGGUUAUGCUGAGCCCGUUCCACAAGACGAGCUGGAGACGAGCAACGGGCACGUAUGGUAUGUGCCCCACCAUGGUGUCGCCCAGCCGAAGAAAGGAAAACUUCGAGUGGUCUUCGACUGCAGUGUGGAGUUUCGCGGACGCUGCCUCAACCAUGAGCUCCUGCAGGGUCCAGAUAUGUCGAACAACCUCGUCGGCAUUCUGACCAGAUUCCGAAAGGACGCAGUUGCACUAACGUGCGACAUCGAAUCCAUGUUCAACCGGGUCUCGGUUGCUCCGAGCGACAGGAACCUCCUCAGGUUCCUCUGGUGGCCAGGAGGUGAUAUCGAGAAGGAACCAACCUUCUACAGAAUGACGACGCACCUCUUCGGAGCUGUCUCCUCGCCAGCGUGCGCGAUGCAUGCUCUGAAUCGGACUGCGGAGCUAUACGAGCCCAAACAUGGAAAGGAGGCAGCGAACUUCAUCAGGAACGAUUUCUAUGUCGAUGACGGACUCAUCUCGACGCCAGAUGCCAGCUCGGCAACCGCCCUCAUCGACAACACGACAAAGCUCUGUGCUGAAGGUGGGUUCAGGCUCACGAAGUUUGCGUGUAACGACUUCACUAUCAUGGAAACUAUCCCCAUCUAUUCGAGGGCCAAGUCUCUGAUUGGCCUGACCUUCCAGGAGAAUCCACAGGUCUGCGAACAAGCACUAGGCGUCAGAUGGGACUUGAGUUCUGACACCAUCCAGUUCGGAGUGGAUCUUCCUGAACGGCCUGCUACCAGACGAGGAAUCCUAUCGGGAGUAAGUUCCUUGUAUGACCCACUGGGACUGAUCUCACCGGUGAUUCUACGGGGGAAGAAGAUCGUCAAGGAGUUGUGCGGCCGGGACUGCACCUGGGACGAUCCAGUCCCAGACGAGCUGAAGCUACAGUGGCUGAGAUGGAAGGCGACGCUGCCUGCUCUCUCAAGCUUGAAAAUCCCCAGGCAGUACGGCUCGACGCUAACGUCUGACGAGCCGCCUGCAACCUUUCAGCUGCACCACUUCUCCGACGCGUCUACGAGCGGAUACGGCGCUUGCAGUUACCUGCGCAUCAUCACAGACGGCGGAGAGGUAUCUGCAGACCUGGUGAUGUCGAAGGCCAAGGUGACGCCGAAGAAGGCUGUGACAGUUCCGCGCUUGGAGCUAGCAGCAGCUGUACUAGCCACCCAGAUCGGCGAGUUUCUUCAGGACAGCCUGAACAUCUCACAGAUCCAGCAUUACUACUGGUGCGACAGUCGCGUGGUGCUGGGCUAUAUCAGGAACAGUUCAAGACGAUUCCACGUGUACGUGGCCAACCGCGUACAAACGAUCCGCAGUCGUACCUCACCGACUCAGUGGCACUACAUCCCGUCAGAUCAGAACCCCAGUGAUCUGGCCUCACGCGGAUGUCUCGUUGAGGAGCUGAUCGAUAGUGACCUGUGGUGGCAUGGACCUCCAUUCUUAUCCUGCCCAGAAGAGCCACCUCUCGAAGAUGACGAAGACAUCGUUGACCAGCAAGACCCUGAGGUGAAAAAGGCGGCGACGAUGAUGACGAACAGCCAACCUGUCGCAGAGCACGCGACUCUCCUGGAGCGACUUGGACGCUUCUCUACCUGGUUCGCCGCCAAGACAGCCGUAGCAAACUGCCUCAGAUAUGAGAAGAAACUGCAGGAGGCGUGCAGAAGAAAGCGAGGCAAAGAACACAGAGAAGAUUCAGACAGACACCUGAGCGUACAAGACCUGAAGGAAGCUGAAGCAGUCAUCAUCAAGGCGCUUCAGAAGCAAGUGUUUGAUGACGAACUGCGCCGUCGAGACGGAGAAGACACACUGAAGCCUCUGAUGAAGAGUGCUCUGACCAAGUUGAAUCCAGUGAUGAGAGAGGGAGUGAUCUGCGUAGGAGGACGGAUCAGACGAGCAAGUCUGCCGAGAGAGGUAACGAACCCAGUCAUCCUCCCGAAGACCAGCCACGUCAGCACCCUGAUCAUUCGCCAGUGUCACCAGAGAACAGGGCAUUCAGGAAGAGAGACGACACUGGGCGAACUUCGACAACAGGGAUACUGGAUCCUGCACGGUCGGUCCGCUGUCUCCAGCUAUAUCAUCAACUGUGUGCCGUGCAGGAAGCUGCGUGGUCCCCACGGGGGGCAGAAGAUGGCUGAAUUGCCAGCUGAGCGGCUGGAACCGUCUGCUCCCUUCACCUUCUGCGGGGUCGACUGCUUUGGCCCAUUCUACGUGAGGGAGCGACGGAGCCAGGUUAAGAGGUGGGGUAUCAUCUUCACGUGCCUUGCCUCUAGAGCCGUGCACCUGGAAACGCUGAACUCCAUGUCCACCGAUGCGUUUCUGAACGCGUACCGAAGAUUCGUCUGCAGAAGAGGUCCAGUGAGGGCUGUGUACUGCGAUCGCGGGACGAACUUCGUCGGAGGUCAGGGAGCACUGAAAGCAGCCCUCGCAGAAAUGGAUCAGGAAAAGAUCAGGACAAGUCUACUGAAAGAUCAGUGCGACUUCGUGGACUUCAAGUUCAACCCACCUCACUCCAGCCACAUGGGUGGGGCUUGGGAAAGGCUGAUUCGCUGUGUACGAUCAGUCCUGACAAGUCUGCUGGUCGCCAACGGAGAACAGAUGGAUGACGAGCUGUUACGAACGCUGAUGUGUGAGGUCGAGAACAUCCUGAACAGCCGUCCUAUCUCACUAGCUGACAUGUCCUCUACUAACCAGCUCGAGGCUUUGACCCCGAGUUCCCUCCUAACACAGAAAUAUAGAGUAGUGUUACCCUUUCCUGGUAGAUUCGCUGCUCCGGACGUCUACGCUCGUCAGCGGUGGAGACGAGUGCAGCACCUCUCCAACGUCUUCUGGAGCCGGUGGCGACGAGAGGUUAUACUGGCUUCACAAGAGAGGCGGAAAUGGCAAAAGACGACGCCCAACUUCGAGACUGACGACGUCGUCUUGAUCAUGGACGAUGACCACCCCCGUACCCAGUGGGUGCUGGCACGGGUCGUCGCUACACGCCCAGGCAGCGACGGCCUAGUCAGGAAGGUCAGCGUACGGACCAGCAAGGGGACGGAGCUCGAGAGACCGGUCCACCGCCUCGUCACGGUUCUUCGGAGGCGUGAGACCGGGUGAACCCGUCCGUCGGUCUGAGAUAGCGGGGAUGGAGGACGCCGCUGAGUUCAUGCCGGCCAUUGUGUUGGAUGCGGGCCUGAUCACCUCGUGGUGGGACAUCGUGUCCGCCCGGGGUAUGGACGCAGCGCUGGACGAGAUCCAGAUGGACGCGUGUGUGCUGGACGCCGAGGCCGGGUGCCACGGCGUGGCGUCAACAUGACGGACAGAGUGCGUUUGUACUUGUGCCGUGAUCGCGCGACAAAGGCUAGCGCUGCCCGAGUCACCGUGUAGUGACUUGUCACGCGGUGCUGCCAGCGAUUCCCCGUCGAGGAGACAUGUCGAUGGGUAGAAGCGAGAAGUGCAAAUUUUGUUUGCAAAAUUUGGGGGAGCCAUGUUCCCGCGCGUACAAUUUGGUUGCGUUUUCCCAUUGCGUUUAAGGCGAAACAUGACGCGCGCCGCGGCGAGCGUGGCGCUUCUGGAGGCUCCAGCGCGGCCCCUCCGACGCCAUAUUGACGGGUCGGUGAAACCCCCGAACGAAUUUUCACGUACCGUACCGUUUUGUACCACGUGAUGCCAGCGGUUAUGAGAGCAGCGAUGUAUUAUCCUAUGUACUAUACCGGCAAUAGAAAACUAGAUUGAA